UACGUAGGGGGCAAGCGUUGUCCGGAUUUAUUGGGCGUAAAGAGCGUGUAGGCGGCCAAGCAGGUCCGCUGUGAAAACUCGAGGCUCAACCUCGAGAGGUCGGUGGAAACCGUUUGGCUAGAGUCCGGAAGAGGAGAGUGGAAUUCCCGGUGUAGCGGUGAAAUGCGCAGAUAUCGGGAAGAACACCCGUGGCGAAGGCGGCUCUCUGGGACGGUACUGACGCUGAGACGCGAAAGCGUGGGGAGCGAAGCAGG
rnacentral:rRNA from 1 species